rnacentral:rRNA from 1 species
UUGCUGCUUCGCUGACGAGUGGCGGACGGGUGAGUAAUGUCUGGGAAACUGCCUGAUGGAGGGGGAUAACUACUGGAAACGGUAGCUAAUACCGCAUAACGUCGCAAGACCAAAGAGGGGGACCUUCGGGCCUCUUGCCAUCGGAUGUGCCCAGAUGGGAUUAGCUAGUAGGUGGGGUAACGGCUCACCUAGGCGACGAUCCCUAGCUGGUCUGAGAGGAUGACCAGCCACACUGGAACUGAGACACGGUCCAGACUCCUACGGGAGGCAGCAGUGGGGAAUAUUGCACAAUGGGCGCAAGCCUGAUGCAGCCAUGCCGCGUGUAUGAAGAAGGCCUUCGGGUUGUAAAGUACUUUCAGCGGGGAGGAAGGCGAUAAGGUUAAUAACCUUGUCGAUU